CAGCAGCCGCGGGAAUACGUAGGGGGCAAGCGUUAUCCGGAAUUACUGGGUGUAAAGGGAGCGUAGACGGUUAAACAAGUCUGAAGUGAAAUGCCGGGGCUCAACCCCGGAGCUGCUUUGGGAACUGUAGAACUGGAGUGUCGGAGGGGUAAGCGGAAUUCCCAGUGUAGCGGUGAAAUGCGUAGAUAUUGGGAGGAACACCAGUGGCGAAGGCGGCUUUCUGGACUGUAACUGACGCUGAGGCUCGAAAGCCAGGGGAGCGAACGGGAUUAGAUACCCCUGUAGUCCCUGUCUCUUAUAC
rnacentral:rRNA from 1 species